AGUCGAGCGGUAAGGCUUUCACAGAUUAUUUGAACUUAAUAAGUCCAUUUAUGGAUACUGUUUGAAGAAAAUUUCACUAGGCUAGUGAAAUUUGUCGAAUAAUGUGUGAAAGUACACGAGCGGCGGACGGCUGAGUAACGCGUAGGAACGUACCCCAAAGUGAGGGAUAAGCACCGGAAACGGUGUCUAAUACCGCAUGUGAUCUAAGGAUUAAAGCCUUCGGGCGCUUUGGGAGCGGCCUGCGUAUGAUUAGUU
rnacentral:rRNA from 1 species